AUUACAACUCUGGAUCUUUAAGCUAGACUAUGAGAACAUGGAGAAGAUUGACUCGAUCACCCGUGUCUCGAAGGUGGACUUCGAGGAGCUGUCUAAUAACAUUGCCAAGAUAGAGGUCGACUGUAAAGAAUCAUGGGAUCAUCUAAAAGCCAUUGUAAAACAUGAUGGUCCUACACACAUUAAGCUCAAUGUGUUCCAGUGAACCAG